UUAAAGUUUUAUUCUAGCUAUAAAGUUAAUUAUUUAAUUUUUAUAUAUGUAAAUUUUAGUGUUAAUAUUAUUUUAAUAAUAAUAUUUUAUCAUUAGCAGUAUAGAAUUUUAAAUUUUAAGUAAUUUUAGAUUUAGAAAUUUAUAUUAGUAUAAACUAAAUUUGUGCCAGCAGUUGCGGUUAUACAAAUUAUGCAAAUUAAUUUUUUUUAAUUUAAUUAAAAUAUAUAUAUUAUAUUAAUUUAGUUUAAAAAUUUUUAAGUGAAAUUUAAAUUUUUAUAUAAGUUAUUAAUUAAUUUUUUGAGGUUAGGAAAUUUAAAAUUAAACUAGGAUUAGAUACCCUAUUAUUAUAAAUGUUAAUUAAAUAAUUAAAAUUAGUAAAAGUUAUGAUCUUUAAAAUUAAAGAUUUUGGCGGUAUUUUAGUCUAUUCAGAGGAACCUGUUUUAUAAUUGAUAAUCCACGAUUAAUUAAACUUUAAUUUUUAAUUUGUAUAUCGUCGUAGUUUGAAUAUUUUAUAAGAAUUUAAAUAUUCAAUUAUUUUUAUAAAGAAAAGAAUUCAGAUCAAGGUGCAGUUUAUAUUAAAAGAAAAAAUGGGUUACAUUAUAAUUAUAUUUGGGUUUUUUAUUGAAAAAAUUAAAUAAAUUGGAUUUGAUAGUAAAUAUAUAUAUAUAUAUAUAUUGAUUUUGCUCUAAAAUAUGUACAUAUCGCCCGUCGCUUUCGUUAUAAAAUGAAAUAAGUCGUAACAAAGUAGGCUUAUUGGAAAAUGAGCCUAGAAUUAU
rnacentral:ncRNA from 1 species